AUCCACCUUAUUCCUUUUAAUUAGGGUUCUCUCAACCUCUGAAGCUGUGGAAUCGAUCACACCAUUUCAAGGAACUCCUUUGGGUGUUCAGCCUACGGUGAACGGUUGGUGUCGGCUGCCAGAGAUGGAGACUUCGGUGGUGUGGUGCGCUCGGGACUCGGGAGGCCAGAAGAGGGUUUGAAACAAAGUUUGGUUGGAUAAAGGCACAGGAAAAGCUUGUGUUUUGAUAUCUUCCAAUGGAUUAGCGAUAACUGGGAUUGACGAUCGUAGAUACUGGAGUUGGAUUUCUACAUAGGAAUCCAGAUUCCGUUCAGUUGCUUAUCUCUAACAAAUUUGGUGGUUUGAAGUUGAUGGUGAGGUCGAGUUUCCUUUUCCUUGUGGGACCUACACCCUCUACUUCCGCCUACAACUUGGGCGGUCAGGCAGGCGGUUUGGGCGGCGUGUCUGCAACUCCGACCAUGUUCAUGGUUGGGAUAUAAAACCUGUGAAAUUUCAGCUUUCAACUUCAAAUGGGUAUGGCUCUAAACAUUUUCUAUGUAACGGACGCGAUUGGAAACCCGGUAUUACUUGGACAUUAUUGCUUGAUAAUGGAGCUGAUGUUAGUUCAGAAGCCGAAAAGCAACGAGUGAUCAUGUGUUUAAAAGCCACGGUUGAAAGAAGGGCACCCGAGGGUGUGCGUCUCGAGCUAUUCAAACCCGACAAACCCAGACUGUUGGCCCAAGUGACACGAACGUUUAUAGAAAACGCGAUGAACGUAGCACAGGCCGAGAUAUCUACAACAAUGGGUAAUCAUUCUUCGGUUUCGAAAUCGACAUGGACAUCCAAUAUUAGCUCCGAAGAUAUGCUGACCGAAGUUCUGUCGUAUUUCACGCAACCAUCAAUACCGGAGAAGACGGAGCGUAUCUGGAAUUUUAUAUCAGACAUAUAGAUGGAAGCCCGAUUAGUUCAGAAGCCGAAAAGCAACGAGUGAUCAUGUGUUUAAAAGCCGCGGUUGAAAGAAGGGCACCCGAGGGUGUGCGUCUCGAGCUAUUCAAACCCGACAAACCCGGGCUGUUGGCCCAAGUGACACGAACGUUUAGAGAAAACGCGAUGAACGUAACACAGGCCGAGAUAUCUACAACAAUGGAUUGUUGCAUUGCUGCUUGAUAAUGGAGCUGAUGUUAAUUCUAAGAAUUAUUGUGGUUAGGUAAUCAUUCUUCGGUUUCAAAAUCGACAUGGACAUCCAAUAUUAGCUCCGAAGAUAUGCUGACCGAAGUUCUGUCGUAUUUCACGCAACCAUCAAUACCGGAGAAGACGGAGCGUAUGUGGUCAUCCCAAGAGCCUACUUAUCGUGUCUCUAUAAAUACACAGCCACAUUCAAGCAUCCUCCCUUUCAUUAUGCAACCUGUGACUGAAUAUCGGAAGACACCUGCCAACAUGAAGAAAACCACUGUUGUGCUAACUGUUCAGAAAGUUUGGUGACUCUUGAAGAAAUAUUACACCAUGGUCGAGAAAAUAAGAAACACGCGCCCUACUUAUGAAGGUUCUGAUUCAAAUGGUUCUGUGGGUAGCGCUCCAGGUGAAAGCCCUACUUAUGAAGGUUCUUAUUCAGAUGGUUCUGUGGGUAGCGCUCCAGGUGAAAGACAAGAAACUACUAAGGGGAACGUCGACUACAUGGCCAUGCAUUAGCGGCAGAAGAUUUGGUGAAUUAUUGAAUAAAACCGGAAGCUUUAUGAACCCCUUUAAGUUUUUUUCCUGUAAUGUAUGUUUUUAGACUUGGCAUACAUGUUUGUUCUUAAACAGAUUCCGCAAACAAAGUUUCCUGUGUUAUGCACGCCUUAAAUUUUGUGUGGCCGGCUUAUGGUACAAGCUCUUAUCACGUUUUG